AGCGGAGGCAAGGAAACCAACAGGGAUUGCCUUAGUAGCGGCGAGUGAAGCGGCAAUAGCUCAAAUUUGAAAUCUGCCAACAGGCCGAGUUGUAAUUUGAAGAAAGCAUUUUGGAUGUGUCUCUGCUCAAGUUCCUUGGAAUAGGACAUCAUGGAGGGUGAGAAUCCCGUGAUGCGGAGGUAGCAUAUCUGUGUAAAUUGUUUUCGACGAGUCGAGUUGUUUGGGAAUGCAGCUCAAAGUGGGUGGUAAAUUCCAUCUAAAGCUAAAUAUUGGCGAGAGACCGAUAGCGAACAAGUACUGUGAAGGAAAGAUGAAAAGAACUUUGAAAAGAGAGUGAAAAAGUACGUGAAAUUGUUGAAAUGGAAGGGCUUGAGAUUAGACAUGGUGUUUAGUGUUCCACUUUCUUUUGGGAAUGUGUACUCGCUUUAUACUGGGCCAGCAUCAGUUUUGGCGGAAGGAUAAAUGGUAUUGAAUGUGGCUGCCUUGCACGUGUUAUAGCCUUUAUCCAAAUAUCUUCCCAGUCCCGGGACUGAGGACCGCGCAUUUGCUAGGAUGCUGGCGUAAUGAUCUUAAGCCACCCGUCUUGAA
rnacentral:rRNA from 1 species